rnacentral:rRNA from 1 species
GCUCGUGUCGUGAGAGUGUCGGGUUAAGUCCCGCAACGAGCGCAACCCCUAUUGUUAGUUGCCAUCAUUCAGUCGGGCACUCUAGCGAGACUGCCGGUAAUAAACCGGAGGAAGGUGGGGAUGACGUCAAAUCAUCAUGCCCCUUAUGACCUGGGCUACACACGUGCUACAAUGGUUGGUACAACGAGUUGCGAGUCGGUGACGGCGAGCUAAUCUCUUAAAGCCAAUCUCAGUUCGGAUUGUAGGCUGCAACUCGCCUACAUGAAGUCGGAAUCGCUAGUAAUCGCGGAUCAGCACGCCGCGGUGAAUACGUUCCCGGGCCUU